AUGCGACAAUCGCAGAAAAUAGAUAUAUUUCCAAGCUUGUCUGCACCAACCUUGUUGUCAGAAUCUAUGUGGUAUGAUGUCGUAAACCAUCUCGCAAUAAUCAGUGAAUAUGUAAAUUUGGUUUUAAUCUCGUCUAUACUUGUGGUAAUAAUAAAUAAAACACUGGAGAAAAUACACAAAACACAAUUAGAUGAAGAUCUUUCAAACCAAAAAGAGAUUCAUACGCAUAAGUGGAAACAAUCUAUGCCCUCCUUCAGUUAUGAAAAUAGUUGA